rnacentral:rRNA from 1 species
UACGGGGGGGGCAAGCGUUGUUCGGAAUUACUGGGCGUAAAGGGUUCGUAGGUGGCUUGCUAAGUCAGACGUGAAAUCCCUCGGCUCAACCGUGGAAGUGCAUGGGAAACUGCAGAGCUUGAGUACUUAAGAGGAUCGCGGAAUUCCCGGUGUAGAGGUGAAAUUCGUAGAUAUCGGGAGGAACACCAGUGGCGAAGGCGGCGAUCUGGGAAGAUACUGACGCUGAGGUGCGAAAGCGUGGGGAGCAAACAGG